rnacentral:rRNA from 1 species
UGUCGGCGACCGGCGCAAGGGUGCGUAACGCGUGAGCAACAUGCCCGUAUCAGGUGGAUAAUCCAGGGAAACUUGGUCUAAUACCGCAUAAUAAUCAUUUGGGGCAUCUUGGAUGAUUUAAAAUUUCGAUGGAUACGGAUUGGCUCGCGUGACAUUAGCUGGAUGGUAGGGUAACGGCCUACCAUGGCUACGAUGUCUAGGGGUUCUGAGAGGAAGGUCCCCCACACUGGAACUGAGACACGGUCCAGACUCCUACGGGAGGCAGCAGUGAGGAAUAUUGGACAAUGGAUGGAAAUCUGAUCCAGCCAUGCCGCGUGCAGGAAGACGGCCCUAUGGGUUGUAAACUGCUUUUGUAUGGGAGCAAUAAGGGCUACGUGUAGCCUGAUGAGAGUACCAUACGAAUAAGGACCGGCUAACUCCGUGCCAGCAGCCGCGGUAAUACGGAGGGUCCGAGCGUUAUCCGGAUUUAUUGGGUUUAAAGGGUGCGUAGGCGGUUUUAUAAGUCAGCGGUGAAAUUUUCCGGCUCAACCGGGAUACUGCCGUUGAUACUGUAAGGCUAGGAUAUGGUUGCUGUGGGUGGAAUGUGUGGUGUAGCGGUGAAAUGCCUAGAGAUCACACAGAAUAUCGAUUGCGAAGGCAGCUCACAAAGCCAUUAUUGACGCUGAGGCACGAAAGUGUGGGGAUCAAACAGGAUUAGAUACCCUGGUAGUCCACACUGUAAACGAUGAUAACUCGCUGUCGGCGAUAUAAAGUCGGUGGCCAAGCGAAA